rnacentral:rRNA from 1 species
AUUGAACGCUGGCGGCAUGCUUUACACAUGCAAGUCGAACGGUAACAGGCCGCAAGGUGCUGACGAGUGGCGAACGGGUGAGUAAUGCAUCGGAACGUGCCCAGUCGUGGGGGAUAACGCAGCGAAAGCUGCGCUAAUACCACAUACGAUCUACGGAUGAAAGCGGGGGACCGUAAGGCCUCGCGCGAUUGGAGCGGCCGAUGUCAGAUUAGGUAGUUGGUGGGGUAAAGGCCCACCAAGCCAACGAUCUGUAGCUGGUCUGAGAGGACGACCAGCCACACUGGGACUGAGACACGGCCCAGACUCCUACGGGAGGCAGCAGUGGGGAAUUUUGGACAAUGGGCGCAAGCCUGAUCCAGCAAUGCCGCGUGCAGGAAGAAGGCCUUCGGGUUGUAAACUGCUUUUGUACGGAACGAAACGGCUCUGGUUAAUACCUGGGGCUAAUGACGGUACCGUAAGAAUAAGCACCGGCUAACUACGUGCCAGCAGCCGCCGUAAUAC